rnacentral:rRNA from 1 species
GAUGAACGCUGGCGGCGUGCUUAACACAUGCAAGUCGAACGGAAAGGCCCAAGCUUGCUUGGGUACUCGAGUGGCGAACGGGUGAGUAACACGUGGGUGAUCUGCCCUGCACUUCGGGAUAAGCCUGGGAAACUGGGUCUAAUACCGGAUAGGACCACAUUUUGGAUGGUGUGGUGGAAAGUUUUUCGGUGUGGGAUGAGCUCGCGGCCUAUCAGCUUGUUGGUGGGGUAAUGGCCUACCAGGGCGUCGACGGGUAGCCGGCCUGAGAGGGUGUACGGCCACAUGGGGACUGGGAUACGGCCCAGACCCCUACGGGGGGCAGCAGUGGGGAAUAUUGCACAAGGGGCGCAAGCCGGAUGCAGCGACGCCGGGUGGGGGAUAACGGCCUUCGGGUUGUAAACUCCUAUCGCUAGGGACGAAGCGUUAUGUGACGGUACCUGGAGAAGAAGCACCGGCUAACUACG